rnacentral:rRNA from 1 species
GAUGAACGCUGGCGGCGUGCCUAAUACAUGCAAGUCGAGCGAACAGACGAGGAGCUUGCUCCUCUGACGUUAGCGGCGGACGGGUGAGUAACACGUGGAUCACCUACCUAUAAGACUGGGAUAACUUCGGGACACCGGAGCUUAUACCGGAUAAUAUAUUGAACCGCAUGGUUCAAUAGUGAAAGACGGUUUUGCUGUCACUUAUAGAUGGAUCCGCGCCGCAUUAGCUAGUUGGUAAGGUAACGGCUUACCAAGGCUACGAUGCGUAGCCGACCUGAGAGGGUGAUCGGCCACACGGGAACUGAGACACGGUCCAGACUCCUACGGGAGGCAGCAGUAGGGAAUCUUCCGCAAUGGGCGAAAGCCUGACGGAGCAACGCCGCGUGAGUGAUGAAGGUCUUCGGAUCGUAAAACUCUGUUAUUAGGGAAGAACAAAUGUGUAAGUAACUAUGCACGUCUUGACGGUACCGAAUCAGAAAGCCACGGCUAACUACGUG